rnacentral:rRNA from 14 species
UGAGGGUGAAAGGGUUGCAAUAAACUGGUGGCUGCGACUGUUUAAUAAAAACACAGCACUCUGCAAACACGAAAGUGGACGUAUAGGGUGUGACGCCUGCCCGGUGCUGGAAGAUUAAAUGAUGGGGUGCAAGCUCUUGAUUGAAGUCCCAGUAAACGGCGGCCGUAACAAUAACGGUCCUAAGGUAGCGAAA